UGCAUGUCUAAGCCAUGCGAGUCAUUGUAGCAUACAAGGCAUACGGCUCAGUAACGCGUAGUCAACCUAACCUAUGGACGGGAAUAACCUCGGGAAACUGAGAAUAAUGCCCGAUAGAACACUAUACCUGGAAUGGUUUGUGUUCCAAAUGAUUUAUCGCCAUAGGAUGGGACUGCGGCCUAUCAGUUUGUUGGUGAGGUAAUGGCCCACCAAGACUAUUACAGGUACGGGCUCUGAGAGGAGUAGCCCGGAGAUGGGUACUGAGACACGGACCCAGGCCCUAUGGGGCGCAGCAGGCGAGAAAACUUUGCAAUGUGCGAAAGCACGACAAGGUUAAUCCGAGUGAUUUGUGCUAAACGAAUCUUUUGUUAGUCCUAGAAACACUAACGAAUAAGGGGUGGGCAAGUUCUGGUGUCAGCCGCCGCGGUAAAACCAGCACCUCAAGUGGUCAGGAUGAUUAUUGGGCCUAAAGCAUCCGUAGCCGGCUCUGUAAGUUUUCGGUUAAAUCUGUACGCUUAACGUACAGGCUGCCGGGAAUACUGCAGAGCUAGGGAGUGGGAGAGGUAGACGGUACUCGGUAGGAAGUGGUAAAAUGCUUUGAUCUAUCGAUGACCACCUGUGGCGAAGGCGGUCUACCAGAACACGUCCGACGGUGAGGGAUGAAGCUGGGGGAGCAAACCGGAUUAGAUACCCGGGUAGUCCAGCUGUAACUAUGCAACUCAGUGAUGCAUGGCCUGUGUGAUGCAGUGCUGCAAGGUAAGGU
rnacentral:rRNA from 1 species